rnacentral:rRNA from 1 species
AGAGUUUGAUCAUGGCUCAGGAUGAACGCUAGCGGCAGGCCUAAUACAUGCAAGACGAACGGUAAGUUGAGUAGCAAUACUUAGCCAAGAGUGUCGUACGGGUGCGUAACAGGUAUGCAACCUACCCUAUACAGGAGGAUAGCCUAGGGAAACCUGGAUUAACCCUUCAUAGUAUUAUUGGAUGGCAUCAUUUGAUAAUUAAAACUGAGGUGGUAUAGGAUGGGCAUGCGUCUGAUUAGUUAGUUGGCGGGGUAAUGGCCCACCAAGACGAUGAUCAGUAGGGGGUUCUGAGAGGAAGAUCCCCCACACUGGCACUGAGAUACGGGCCAGACUCCUACGGGAGGCAGCAGUAGGGAAUAUUGGUCAAUGGAUGCAAGUCUGAACCAGCCAUGCCGCGUGCAGGAAGAAGGCCUUCUGGGUUGUAAACUGCUUUUGCCAGGGGAUAAAAUUUCCAUGCGUGGAAAACUGAAGGUACCUGGUGAAUAAGCCACGGCUAACUACGUG